rnacentral:lncRNA from 1 species
GAGAGACGAGAGAGAGGGAAGUCGGGGGAGGUUAGGCCGGCUGGCUGCUCGCCGGAGCAGAGGAGAGAGGGGGCGCGGCGGGAGCGUUCAGCGAGUCUGGUCGAGAAAGAGAAAGAGGAGUCAGGGGGAGAGGGAUGGACCAGAGAGAGAGAGAGAGAGGGGGGUCAACGACGACGUUUGCAGAUUUCAUGUUUUUUUUUGUGUUUUUUUUUUAAUUUAAAAAAGCUUGACAAAAACGACGUCGUUUUACUUGAUCGCCGGUGCGUCCACGUCAACAAAAUCCGACGGCCACAUCACCACCGAUCAAAGUGUUAGUCAACGCGGGUGCAAAUUGCGAUUAAAUUGAAAAGUCAUGUAUUCUGGGGCUAAUUUUGAAGGUCACGUG